rnacentral:rRNA from 1 species
AAUGAACGUUGGCGGCGUGGAUUAGGCAUGCAAGUCGAGCGAGAACCGUAGCAAUACGGGGACAGCGGCGAAAGGGAGAGGAAUACGCGGGUACCUACCCUCGGAUCUGGGAUAGCUACGGGAAACUGUAGGUAAUACCAGAUGAUGUCUUCGGACCAAAGGUGUGAUUCCGUCCGAGGAGGGGCCCACGUCCUAUUAGCUAGUUGGUGGGGUAAUGGCCUACCAAGGCAAUGAUGGGUACGGGGCGUGAGAGCGUGCCCCCGCUCACUGGGACUGAGACACUGCCCAGACACCUACGGGUGGCUGCAGUCGAGGAUCUUCGGCAAUGGGCGCAAGCCUGACCGAGCGACGCCGCGUGCGGGAUGAAGGCCUUCGGGUUGUAAACCGCCGUCGGAGGGGAGGAAAUGCUUAGGGGUUCUCCCCUAGGUUUGACCUAUCCUCAGAGGAAGUACGGGCUAAGUUCGUGCCAGCAGCCGCCGUAAGAC